rnacentral:rRNA from 1 species
CACCGGUGGCGAAGGCGGGUUUCUGGCCGAUAAUUGACGCUGAGAUGCGAAAAUGUGGGGAUCGAACAGGAUUAGAUACCCUGGUAGUCCACACCGUAAACGAUGUACACUAGGUGUUGGGGUACGAACCUCAGUGCCGAAGCGANCGUGAUAAGUGUACCGCCUGGGGAGUAUGCCCGGCAACGG